AAAAAAUCGUCUAUAGUUCUCAAACUAGACUUUCGAAAGGCUUUCGACUCCGUGUCUUGGAUGGCCUUGUCUUCCAUUUUGAGAGCUAAGGGGUUCCCUUCGACCUGGUGUGAUUGGAUCAAUAAUCUCAAUGUGACCAGCCAGUCAGCUGUGCUUCUUAAUGGUAAACCAGAGCCAUGGAUCAACUGCAAACAGGGGCUUCGAGAAGGGGAUUCGAUAUCCCCAUACCUUUUCAUUAUUGUUGCCGACGUCCUUCAACGUCUAAUCAUACAAGCUUCGUCCAAUGGUCGGCUCUCUCACCCGAUCGACCCCCUCCAUUGCUUGCCCUGUGCUCCAAUAUGCGGAUGA
rnacentral:rRNA from 1 species